CCAGGUAAAAUAAAAACAAACAAACAAAAAAACAAAAAACCAUACCAGCAAUCGAUAGAGAGAAGGCUUCAGAGAAAACGAUCUGCAGGUGAUCUCUACAAAAACGGGAAGAGCACGAAUCGACAAAAAUAUGGCCAAUGGACUACUUGCACUAGGGCAGCGGUUCCCAAACUUUUUUUGUUAGGCCCUCCUUUGUUUUACAAGAAAAAUAUCGUCCCCCCCCGCCCACGCACAAACACAUCCUCCAACCACAAACACCCAUAUUUUGCUCCAUUCCGGUUUAUUUCACACCUCAAACAUUUAGUAAACAAUUAAGCAAAUACAAGUAAUCUGCAAUAAAUUACAAGUAGUAAUAAAAUAAACUACUAACUCUUUUACGCUACGUCCACACCUACACGGGUAUUUUUGAAAACGCAGCUGUUUCUAUGCGUUUGGGCCUUUCGUCAACACGUAAACGGCGUUUCGAAUCACCGAAAACGGAGAUUUUUUAAAACUCCUUUUUUGCGUUUUAAGUGUGGACGAGGAUUACAGAGUUCAUCACGCAACGUCAAAGAUGGAGGAUCACUAACAGGAGCGUGGGAAGACUCCAGAAUCCACUCUGGCUGGAAUCCGGUGGAUACAGCAGUGUUACAGAACAGUUCUCCACAGUCGCUGUCCACAUGGGUCAGUGGGACCAAGCAGCACUCUGCUAAUGUGGGACUCUGACCAGCAACAUCCAGCAAGACCCAGACAGCGUUUUCUAUCUCCCAGCUGGAGUUUUUUUGUUUGUGACGGGAGAGUCAGAUUUUUGUUGAAGCUGGAGGAACAGCCUCACACUUGCAGAGGUUACAUGCUACUGAUCCCUGAUGGGAGAAUCAUCACCUCUGCCAACAAAGAAGCCUGGUGGAUGUUUGUUUACAGACUGAUGAUGGGACAUCAUGCUCUGCAUCUUCAAAGUUUGUCUCUUGAUUAUUAUUCAUACACAGUAAUGUGAAGUAUGCUUAUAUCUAGUAUAACUGGACCAACCUGGUGCUCUUCAUUUAUGGAGGCUGUUGAGUCUGAAUGUUGGAUGUUGUGUAUCUCGUGUUCUCUGGGCUUUGUUGUCCUCAGUCUUUUUGCAGGAUCAGAAAACAAAACCAGGAGACCUGUAAAUGUUUCUUCUCCAAUUGGAUGAUGAUAAGACUGUGACACGGGAUGCCACCUUUAGUCUUGUGAUGAAGCAAAGCUCAGGAAGAAGUGUGAUUAAAUGGUACCCACAUGUGUGCUGCUGAGAAGGAUGUACAGGGGCACCUGCAGCCAAAUCCAAGCCUCCUCAGAUGGUGACGGUGUGGAGAGACGGUGGUGUUUCCUCAGAAGAACCAGCAGAGUCACAAAGGGCACGAGUCCAUCUCACCACCUUGACUUGCUGACUGAUGCUCGUCUGCACUGCACAGAGGAAAUCAACUGACCGAGGUAAAUCUCCAGUUUCUGAGUGAGGGAGAGAGGAGUCAUCAUCCAGGUAAAGUGACGUGGAUCAGUGGAUACACUUGUCUCCCCUUUAAAGGAGAUACUCUUAGAGAGAGACGAUCUGAGUCAUCAUAAAAUCUGGAGAGGAAACUACACCAGUGUACUGGGAUGUUUCACCAACACGUGCCAGACGCUGUAACUUCAUGGUGACAUCACCAGAGACAGCCCUGCCCACCUCAGGACCUCGCCAUUGAUCAUGAUGAUUAUAAUAAUGACAGCGAGCGGAACUAAGACUGUAAAAAUCAACAACCAGAAUGUUUAGAUGCUUUCUAAUUAUUAAUGAAUACUGAGAGCCUCUUUCUGUGUUUUGUCUGUUUUGGGUUGUUUUGUUUUUUACCUCAUUUGUUACUAACAAAGUUCAACAAACUCACACAGUUUACAUUCUGUAUGUUUCCAUCUUUACCAGCCACAGUCUACCUGCAUUUAGAAAACAAACCUUAGAAAUUGUCGUUUUUCUCUUUUGUAAUUGAUGAUAAUUCAGUGAAUAUACUGCGCUGCUUCCUUUUAUUGCGUCAAACAUUGCUUUAAGUUUUUCAGUGUUCAGUUAUUUUUUACUGCUGUUUGAAUUCUCUGCAUGUUUGACCCUGUAGACUGUUUAAUGGACUGCUUGUCUUGUAACCGCCGCCUGUUUUUGACUAAAGAUUUGGAUUUCUGACUGUAACACAG
ensembl:lncRNA